rnacentral:sRNA from 1 species
CACAGGCUUUCCAUUUAUGAGGACUGGGACCCCUUCAGAUUUCGACACAUGAUCCCCACGGAAGCGCUGCAGGUUCGAGCUUUGGCGAGUGCAGAUGCAGAGGCAAAUGCCGUGUGUGAAAUUGUCCAUGUAAAAUCCGAGUCUGAAGGGAGGCCGGAGAGGGUCUUCCACUUGUGCUGCAGCUCCCCGGAGAGCCGAAAGGAUUUCCUGAAGGCUGUGCAUUCAAUCCUGCGCGAUAAGCACAGAAGACAGCUCCUCAAAACCGAGAGCCUUCCCUCAUCCCAGCAAUAUGUCCCUUUUGGAGGCAAAAGAUUGUGUGCACUGAAGGGGGCCAGGCCGGCCAUGAGCAGGGCAGGUACUGUGGGGAUUCGGACGUUCAAGAUUCCCGUCACCCCCACUCCGCAGUAGAACUCCAGUGAGCUUGACCUCCUUGUUGAGUGGGGGUGAGGUGUGGCCUGGUGGGGGCUGAUGUAGGAGGACGGUUUUUCCCUGAUGUGAGGUUCCUUGCCCUUGCCUCCUUCCCAGUGGCUCCUGGGGAUCCGCCCUGUAUCUACAUUCCUCUUGUCCUCCCUCAAGCCUUCCCUUUGCCUCCCUUCUCCUUUUGGCUGGUGAGCUCCUCCCUCAUUUGCCAAGUCGGGUUGCAGACACAUCCUCUUUCUGGAGAGGCUGUCUCAGCCUGCUUGCAGAAUGAGAGUCGCUGCUUUGCAUGACAGCCAGCUUUGUCUAGCAGAAAGCCGUGUGUCACAUUUCAGCAAGGUCACAGCCCUCUGUUCAUGGUGGCUUCAUGGCCUGGCAGCACAGCAGUGCCUGCUCUCAAUAGUAAGGAUCCUAGGGUUGGUAGCCGUCAUGACACUUCCAGUUUUUAUCCUGGCCUUGGGCCUGCAACUUUAUUUUUAGUCUCCAUGUUAAUUCGGGGAAGCCUUGAGCUAUU